rnacentral:rRNA from 1 species
CCUACGGGUGGCAGCAGUGAGGAAUAUUGGUCAAUGGGCUUACGCCUGAACCAGCCAAGUCGCGUGAGGGAAGACUGCCCUAUGGGUUGUAAACCUCUUUUGUCAGGGAGCAAUUGGCGCUACGUGUAGCGUGAUCGAGAGUACCUGAAGAAAAAGCAUCGGCCAACUCAGUGCCAGCAGCCGCGGGAAGACGGAGGAGGCGAGCGUUAUCCGGAUUUAUUGGGUUUAAAGGUUGCGUAGGCGGAAUGCCAAGUCACCGGUAAAAUCGCGGGGCUCAACCUCGCUCCGCCGUUGAAACUGGCGUUCUGGAGUGGGCGAGAAGUAUGCGGAAUGCGUGGUGUAGCGGUGAAAUGCAUAGAUAUCACGCAGAACUCCGAUUGCGAAGGCAGCAUACCGGCGCCCAACUGACGCUGAAGCACGAAAGCGUGGGUAUCGAACAGGAUUAGAUACCCGGGUAGUC